rnacentral:lncRNA from 1 species
CUUUGCUGUAGAGUGUGACUGCCAGUAGUUAAAAUUUUGCUUGACAGAGGAAGCUGCUUCUUGGAUUAUAAGGACGUGUUUCAAUAGACAGACAUCCACAUGCUGUUUUGUAAGGAUACACAUAACCACUGGAUAUAACCAUGUUUUUGUGGCUAGAACUCUUGGUGUUUGGCUUGGCUCUUGUGGACAUGGAAGUUUUCAUAAAUGGUAGGUGCCUUCAUUUGUUUUGAUACCACGGGUUCUCUUGGUAAUUGUAGCAACAGCAGCAAUUG